AGGGCGCGGCGGUCGCUG
rnacentral:sRNA from 1 species